AUUGAACGCUGGCGGCAGGCCUAACACAUGCAAGUCGAGCGGAUGAAGGGAGCUUGCUCCUGGAUUCAGCGGCGGACGGGUGAGCAAUGCCUAGGAAUCUGCCUGGUAGUGGGGGAUAACGUCCGGAAACGGGCGCUAAUACCGCAUACGUCCUGAGGGAGAAAGUGGGGGAUCUUCGGACCUCACGCUAUCAGAUGAGCCUAGGUCGGAUUAGCUAGUUGGUGGGGUAAAGGCCUACCAAGGCGACGAUCCGUAACUGGUCUGAGAGGAUGAUCAGUCACACUGGAACUGAGACACGGUCCAGACUCCUACGGGAGGCCGCAGUGGGGAAUAUUGGACAAUGGGCGAAAGCCUGAUCCAGCCAUGCCGCGUGUGUGAAGAAGGUCUUCGGAUUGUAAAGCACUUUAAGUUGGGAGGAAGGGCAGUAAGGUAAUACCUUGCUGUUUUGACGUUACCAACAGAAUAAGCACCGGCUAACUUCGUG
rnacentral:rRNA from 1 species